GGGCCCGCACAAGCAGCGGAGCGUGUGGUUUAAUUCGAUGCUACACGAAGAACCUUACCAGGGUUUGACAUGCAAGUGGUAGGAACCGAAAGGCGACCGACCUUCGGGGAGCUUGCACAGGUGCUGCAUGGCUGUCGUCAGCUCGUGUCGUGAGAUGUUCGGUUAAGUCCGCUAACGAGCGCAACCCUCGCUGUGUGUUACAAGUGUCACACGGGUACUGCCGGUCUUAAGCCGGAGGAAGGUGGGGAUGACGUCAAGUCAGCAUGGCCUUUAUGUCCUGGGCUACACACACGCUACAAUGGCCAACACAAUAGGUUGCUAAGCCGCGAGGUGGAGCCAAUCCUCAAAGUUGGUCUCAGUUCAGAUUGCAGGCUGCAACCCGCCUGCAUGAAGAUGGAGUUGCUAGUAACCGCAGGUCAGCUAUACUGCGGUGAAUACGUUCCCGGGGCUU
rnacentral:rRNA from 1 species